UACGUAGGGGGCAAGCGUUGUCCGGAAUCAUUGGGCGUAAAGAGCGUGUAGGCGGCUCGUUAAGUCUGCUGUGAAAGUCCAGGGCUCAACCCUGGAAUGGCGGUGGAAACUGUCGAGCUAGAGUCCGGAAGAGGCGAGUGGAAUUCCUGGUGUAGCGGUGAAAUGCGCAGAUAUCAGGAGGAACACCAAUGGCGAAGGCAGCUCGCUGGGACGGUACUGACGCUGAGACGCGAAAACGUGGGGAGCAAACAGG
rnacentral:rRNA from 1 species